GGUGAGGUAACGGCUCACCAAGUCGACGAUCGGUAGCCGGACUGAGAGGUUGAACGGCCACAUUGGGACUGAGACACGGUCCAAACUCCUACGGGAGGCAGCAGUGGGGAAUAUUGCACAAUGGGCGAAAGCCUGAUGCAGCAACGCCGCGUGAACGAUGAAGGUCUUCGGAUCGUAAAGCUCUGUCGCAGGGGAAGAUAAUGACGGUACCCUGUGAGGAAGCACCGGCUAACUAC
rnacentral:rRNA from 1 species